AUGAGGCCUGACCUCGCUCCACCCUGUCAGCACUUUUCUCCAUCGGGAGCCCCCUGCCUGUGUUCUCCCUCAGAAAGACCCAGGACUCAGGCUAACGGGCUGUGCUACGUGCUGCCCGUCACCCAACAGGCUUCAGUCUGCCUUCGCUUUGCAAAGGGAGCAGAGAUUGACCAGCUGUGGACAGACGCCGAGGGCAAGACCACAGCCCUGCAGUCUUCAGACUUAUCCAAGCACUUUUCAACCAAGCAGUCACCUUCACAGUCUGUAGAAGUAAAGUCUGGGAGGAAACACCCCAAUGCUGGGAAGCCGGGUUAGGGAAGUGUUCACAUUUUCAUCUUUAUGCUCUAUAUUUCUUCCAGUGCCUUUAAAAAAAUACCACCACCACCGUGAGAAGGAUCCUAGAGAUUUUUGACUCAGUAGUGCAUUCACAGUGAUACAAGGAAGGGAGGAAUCCAUUCUAGGGAAACUGAGGCACAGGGAGGUGAGAGAUGUUCCCGUAGUCACAGUAGGCCACUGAAUCUGGCCUGAGAUGCAGAGGACGCCCAGACCCCAGCCUGUUGUCUUUCUACUCGGCUGGAUGCCCUCAGCAUGACGGCAGGGCCAGGCCAGCGAAGGGCAGGCCUUGCGCACCAGGAGCGAAGGCGCAGGGCACAGCCUGCCAGGUUUGCGCUUUGCCCCAACAGCCUAGUGCUUUCUCCUUCCUUCCACCGGCUGUGAGUGGGCUUGCCUGCCAGGGGGAGGAAGGGUUCCUCCCACAGGUCCUGGGCCUGGCCUGGCCCUAUUACUGCCAGGCCCAGACCGUAUUUGCUGCCCUUUUCCUGGUGAGUAGCGAGUACCUCUGGCCCAGGUGGCCCUCGACUCUCACCCCAUCCCCUCCCAGGUCUCCCUGUGGGAGACAGAGUUGAGCACCCUGCUUGCUGUCAGGGGGCCUCCUGGCUCCUAGGAGGGAGCCCCUAUACUCUGCCCCAAGGCCCUGCGGUAGCAUUUCCUUAUUCAGUUCUCUCAGCAACUUUAAAUGGAAGUAUUUUCCUCACCCCUUAAACCUUGAAGAGCAGUCUUAGGUGCAGAGGGAAACUGAGCAGAAAAGUCCCCCGGCCCAGCCUGUGCAGCCUCCUCCUGUCAGCCCUGCCCAGCAGACACACCAAAGGACCUGGAUUCGCCGCCUCAUCCACCAGAGCGCAGUUCAUGCUUCGGGUCACUCUGGGUGCUGGACAUCCACAGGUUAGGGGAAGAGGCGAUGUUUUCAAAUGACCACUUUACGGGGGAAGCAGCUGGGCCCUGAAGUGAGGACCAAGGUCACGUGGCAGGAGGUGGCCGGGACCUGUGUGACUAUACCAGGCCACAGGUAGCUGAGGACUCAGCUGGGGACAGAUACGGUUGCCACUGACGUGGAACUGAACUGGGCAGAGCCACUGCCUCGGAGGAGCUCACAGUCCCACGGUGACACGGAUCACCUCCUUGGCGUGCUGUGUUUCUGUGUCCCACCCCGUCACGUCAGAGCAGCCAGCACUCACAGGGCAGCCCGAGAGUUGCACUGGUUAGGGACAGGAUGAGGGAGAGUUUACAGGGUGGGACUGGCUGGUACUCGAGGCAUCCCUGCCGUGACUUGGGACACUACUGUAACAUCAACGGCCCAACAGGCACCAUGGGAAAGGAUCACUGCCUUCGUCAACCCGCAGGCCUCCUCUUCCUCUCGCUCACCCCUGUCUCCAGGAGCCUGGGUGCACCCAGGGCUGGGCCAGUGUCUCCUUCUCCCCAGUGGGGCGCUCUGGGCUUCCUGGUCAGGCUCUGGCCUCCUGUGAGGGUGUGCGACUGUGUUUCUCUAGUCUAGCUGGCUACCAGGGCAGUGAAUGCUCAGCCCUGUCCAUGGGCCUGGCUGCCCCUGGGUGGGCCCCGGGGACAGAAGCUCUUUUCUUUCUUCAAGGCCACAUGGACUAGCAGAAAGAGGCUGGCUUUGGAGUGUGACUGCCUAUACCCCGCCCUCGUUCCUGCCUGGGCAUGCGCAACCCGUUUCUUAAUCCAAAGUCGUGGUGUUAAACCCUGAAAAGGGUUUAAGGAUUUGAGAAUGGAGCAUCAUUCCUGUCACAUCCCCGGUGCUGAGAAGUUGGUGGCUCUUAUUUCUGAGUCAAAUGAGAGGACCCCUGCAUGCCCUGGCUCUGGCACAGUUCUUGUCCAGAAAAUACGCCUGCAUAGGCUGCCAGGCAAGAGGCCACGGGGUCUGCUUCUCCAAUUUCCCAACUGACAAAUAGAAAUCAAUUUUGCCUCUUUCGAGCCAUUAAAACUCAUCGCCCGUGAAGCAGAUCCAUGAGUCUUAUCUGAUUUUCAUUUUGGAAACGUAGUAUCGAUACUGAGUUUCUCCUGGGAGGGAAGCAAGGGUGGAGAUGAGCUUGUUAUCCUGGUCUCUCUUUCUCCUGUCACAGGCCAGGAAGUUCCCCACUUCCCACUUCUGGGCCAUGGAGAGAGAUGUUCUUUUCCUGCAGCACACUGGUAACUUCUGGGGCGUUUGUUAGAUGCAGGUUCCAGAUUCCUUCCUCUCACCCCACAUCUGUUAAAGAGGAAUCUCUUGGGUGGACUCUGGAUUCUUCUCAGCUUGGGAGUCACAGCCUGAAAGGCCCACAGGUCAUGUCUGUCUCGCCGUGGAAGAGGGUCCAAGUGUCAGGCUGGGAAGGGCCUGGUGGUUUAAUAAAAGGAGGGACUGGGAGUAGAAGAACAAAAUCUUACCAUCUUUAAUCCUUCCAUACUGUAAAUCUUACCGCCCUUAAUUCUUUAUAAAGAGAGAGGCACUGUUGGAUUUGUGUAGAAAUACACAUCAGAAACACACACACACACACACACACACACACACACACACACACACACGUCUAUAGACCAAUUCAGC
rnacentral:lncRNA from 1 species